rnacentral:rRNA from 1 species
AUUGAACGCUGGCGGCAUGCUUUACACAUGCAAGUCGAACGGUAACAGGCCGCAAGGUGCUGACGAGUGGCGAACGGGUGAGUAAUGCAUCGGAACGUGCCCAGUCGUGGGGGAUAACGCAGCGAAAGCUGCGCUAAUACCGCAUACGAUCUCUGGAUGAAAGCGGGGGACCGAAAGGCCUCGCGCGAUUGGAGCGGCCGAUGUCAGAUUAGGUAGUUGGUGGGGUAAAGGCCCACCAAGCCAACGAUCUGUAGCUGGUAUGAGAGGACGACCAGCCAGGCGGGGACUGAGACACGGCCCAGUCUCCUACGGGAGGCAGCAGUGGGGAAUUUUGGACAAUGGGCGCAAGCCUGAUCCAGCAAUGCCGCGUGCAGGAAGAAGGCCUUCAGGUUGUAAACUGCUUUUGUACGGAACGAAACGGUCCGGGUUAAUACCCUUGGCUAAUGACGGUACCGUAAGAAUAAGCACCGGCUAACUACGUGCCAGCCGCCGCGGUAAGAC